UGGGGAAUAUUGCACAAUGGAGGGAACUCUGAUGCAGCGACGCCGCGUGAGUGAUGAAGGAAUUCGUUUCGUAAAACUCUGUUCUAUGGGAAGAAAAGGACUGUACCAUAGGAGAAAGCUCCGGCUAAAUACGUGCCAGCAGCCGCGGUAAUACGUAUGGAGCGAGCGUUGUCCGGAAUUAUUGGGCGUAAAGGGUGCGCAGGCGGCUUUACAAGUUGGAUGUGAAAUAUUGUGGCUCAACCACAAACGUGCAUCCAAAACUGAAAGCUUGAGUUAAGGAGAGGUAAGUGGAAUUCCUGGUGUAGCGGUGGAAUGCGUAGAUAUCAGGAGGAAUACCGGUGGCGAAGGCGACUUACUGGACUUAAACUGACGCUCAGGCACGAAAGCGUGGGGAGCAAACAGG
rnacentral:rRNA from 1 species